AGUCGAGGGGUAUAAGGUGCUUGCACCUUAGAGACCGGCGCACGGGUGCGUAACGCGUAUGCAAUCUGCCUUUCACAAAGGGAUAGCCAGAGAAAUUUGGAUUAAUACCUUAUAGUAUAUUUUUGUGGCAUCACAGGAUUAUUAAAGAUUUAUCGGUGAAAGAUGAGCAUGCGUCCCAUUAGCUAGAUGGUAAGGUAACGGCUUACCAUGGCAACGAUGGGUAGGGGUCCUGAGAGGGAGAUCCCCCACACUGGUACUGAGACACGGACCAGACUCCUACGGGAGGCAGCAGUGAGGAAUAUUGGACAAUGGGCGCAAGCCUGAUCCAGCCAUGCCGCGUGCAGGAUGACGGUCCUAUGGAUUGUAAACUGCUUUUAUACGGGAAGAAAUCUCUCUUCGUGAAGAGAACUGACGGUACCGUAAGAAUAAGGAUCGGCUAACUCCGUGCCAGCAGCCGCGGUAAUACGGAGGAUCCAAGCGUUAUCCGGAAUCAUUGGGUUUAAAGGGUCCGUAGGCGGCCUUAUAAGUCAGUGGUGAAAUCUCACGGCUCAACCGUGAAAUGGCCAUUGAUACUGUAGGGCUUGAAUUAUCAGGAAGUAACUAGAAUAUGUAGUGUAGCGGUGAAAUGCUUAGAUAUUACAUGGAAUACCGAUUGCGAAGGCAGGUUACUACUGGUGGAUUGACGCUGAUGGACGAAAGCGUGGGUAGCGAACAGGAUUAGAUACCCUGGUAGUCCACGCCGUAAACGAUGGAUACUAGCUGUUGGACUGCAAGGUUCAGUGGCU
rnacentral:rRNA from 1 species